UUGCGAGAGUUAUUUUCAAUGUCUUUAAUAUCAUUAACUCACCCAUAUAUGCACUAAAAUGUAACCCCGGGCUAACUUUUGGUUCAUGCUCAACACCUCCGUGUAUCUUUCUCUUGCUUUCUUUAGGUAUUCGCUUAUGAAAACCUGAUUGAUUCACUCAUUUUUCUGGUUGAAUUGACCACUUAUACAUUGACGGAUCAGCCAUGGACAGCAAUGACCUCAAUCUGAAUGUGUCAUGCAAUCAUGCGAAUGGUGACUCGGUAGGAAUGAGUGGCAAUGGGAAAACACGUUGGGAAAGAUGGCUUGGAAUGGCUUUGGGGACGAGGGGAGAGACAUACGGCCUGGAAUGGCUUUGGGGAGGAGGGAGAAUAAACGGGCAUUGAACUGAGCCUUGCUUCUCAACGGGCAUUGAGCUGAGCCUUGCUUCUCACCAUCAGCAGAUAAAGCAGCAGUGAAUUCUGAAAGCGGCUUGCAUCAAGGAGGCCAUGAAAUCAAAAGAUAUACUCUAGAUACCAUGGCUUUCAUGGCUUCCCAUGUUAGUGAAUGAUUUGUCAGCUCCAUUUUAGUGUACACUUAAAAUGUUUUGCAUGCACACUAGCGAUUUUGUUAGUGUCAGAUGGAUCGUCUUGCUUAAUGUUUUACUUCAUGCAGAAACUUUUGCAAGUGUACAUGUUCUAAUAUACUGUAGUUUAUUGAGAUGUUCAGUUAUAUUUUUUA